UACGUAGGGUGCGAGCGUUGUCCGGAAUUAUUGGGCGUAAAGAGCUUGUAGGCGGUCUGUCGCGUCUGCUGUGAAAAUCCGGGGCUCAACCCCGGACUUGCAGUGGGUACGGGCAGACUAGAGUGUGGUAGGGGAGACUGGAAUUCCUGGUGUAGCGGUGAAAUGCGCAGAUAUCAGGAGGAACACCGAUGGCGAAGGCAGGUCUCUGGGCCACGACUGACGCCGAGAAGCGAAAGCAUGGGGAGCGAACAGG
rnacentral:rRNA from 1 species